AUCUCUAGUCUCAAUUUCUGCCCUACCAAAGUAUUUAAAGUUAUGGUCUCUAAAUUUCAAGGAUUUGGCAGUGAUCUAAUCCAGAUAGAGGAACCGGUUUAUUAAACGAUAAACCACGAAAAAUCUUAUCUGUUUUAAAAACUUUUAUACCGUCAUUAUUAGAUAAUUCUAAGAAGAAAAAUUAUCUCAACAAAAGACUACUUAAUAUAUUAGAUCAAGGUGCCGUCUAUAAACAGGCUUAAAUGGGUUACAAUAAGACACACUUAUUACAGAUAAAAGAUUUAAACAUCUCUUUGAAGGAGGAUUUAAUAGUAAUGCUAGUUCAACAAACUAACCUGAUAAAGGAUCUAGACUGAGUACAUAUCGGCCGCCACUUUAAUCUAAAAUUGAAAUAAGUCGUAACAUAG
rnacentral:rRNA from 1 species